GUUUGAAGCCUGCCCCACAGGAGGGAAUUUCACACCCAUUCCCGAAAUCUUGUACAGAAGUCUACAGCUGAAGAGAUCACAGGUUCCAGAUAGAAUCAGUUCCCCGCCAUCCGUGAAGCUCACAGCGACCCCGACAACAGAGGAGCUAGAGGAGGAAAAAAAUCAUUCUUGUUUGAAGAGGCUCCUCUACCCAGCAGCUUUUACUCAUGGUGUGUACAUUAUUGUGAUCAUCCUCCACGAAACAGUCAGUUAAUUUAUACUAUGUUUCAGUUUGUCACGGUAGAUGUCUAAGACACAGUACAGUCUGGAGAAAAUAUUCCCAGGAAAGGGUAUGGCUGUCCUACUGACAGAUUCCUAAGAAGGUCUGAGUCAGUCUGAGCUGUUUUCUACACUGGGAUGCACAUCACUAUGGCUUCAGUGAGAAUCAUCAUCACCUCAUGCAUCAGGCCCUUCCUCUCUUCUUAGGCUUUGGAGACCAGUUUCUGUGUUGUUAGUGGAGGCUUAGUGGUCUCCAAGGAAUUUCAAAUGUCCCUAUAACUCAUCAGCUCACAGAGUCCUGGAGGCACUCGCCUUUGCUUGUCCCAUGAAACUCCUGCCAAAGUCCUGACUGACAGGUGGAGGAGAAAGAGCACACAUGCAUGUAUGCACAUCAGCAACAAAGUGCAAAAUGCCAAGGCUAGUGUCCAUCACCACACCUGCCUGAGGACAAAGGAUUGCGUUCAUGCAGCGUUGGAGAUACUUGUGAUUCCUGAUGUGUCAUCACAUUCAAUGUAAAUCUCCGGAUUUAUUUAGUGAAGACAUUUGUAACCUUUUACACCAUUGUUCUCAAGGAAACACAGUUAAACCAGGAAUGGUGGACUAGCCCCGAAAUCCCAGCACACAAAAGAAGGUAAAAUAUCAUGAGUGUGAGAACUACAGAGACCUUAUCUUAAAAUUAAAACAUGUAAUUAAGUAACUAACAAUAAAAGAAUGGCAGG
rnacentral:lncRNA from 1 species